AUUGUCCAUUGUAAAGGUUUUGAUGACACCAUUGUAAAGGUUUUGUGUCAUCAAAACCUUUACAAUGAUGUCAUCAAAACUUUUACAAUGAUGUCAU
rnacentral:pre_miRNA from 1 species